rnacentral:rRNA from 1 species
UGAUCGGGCUCGUCCGAUCCUCCCACCCUUUGUAUACCUACCUCUGUUGCUUUGGCGGGCCGCGGUCUUCCGCGGCCGCCCCCCGAUUUUGGGGGGUGGCUAGUGCCCGCCAGAGGACUAUCAAAACUCCAGUCAGUAAACGUUGCAGUCUGAAAAAAAUAUUAAAUAAACUAAAACUUUCAACAACGGAUCUCUUGGUUCUGGCAUCGAUGAAGAACGCAGCGAAAUGCGAUAAGUAAUGUGAAUUGCAGAAUUCAGUGAAUCAUCGAAUCUUUGAACGCACAUUGCGCCCCUUGGUAUUCCGGGGGGCAUGCCUGUUCGAGCGUCAUUUCAACCCUCAAGCUCUGCUUGGUAUUGGGCACCGUCCUUUGCGGGCGCGCCUCAAAGACCUCGGCGGUGGCGUCUUGCCUCAAGCGUAGUAGAAUACACCUCGCUUCGGAGCGUAAGGCGUCGCCCGCCGGACGAACCUUCUGAACUUUCUCAAGGUGACCUCGA